rnacentral:rRNA from 1 species
AUGGCUACUAGCACUAAGCUUGUAGCUCUUGGCUUUGUUGUUCUCGUGAGCAUUGGGUUCACCAAUGCUUCGAGGAUGCUCGCUAGCUCUUCCAGUUCUGGAGGUGGAAGCGGGGGAGGCGGAGGCGGCUCGUCGAAUGGGACUGGGAGUGGAUGGGGCCAUGGGGCCGGAGGAGGUGGUGGCUUGGGAUAUGGCGAGAGUGGUGGAGAUGCCAAUAACAAGUAUAACUUUGCCAAGGGAGCUGGUGGAGGAGGGGGGAAUGGUGCUGGCGGUGGUUCUCAAGGCGGAUCCGGAUCCGGUUCCGGCUCUGGCGGUGGCAACGGUGUUGGUUCGAGUGGCUCGGCGUCAGCCCCUAGCGGCAGUGGGUACGCCAACGCUGAUGGUCAGGGUGGGGGUGGGGGUGCAGGUGGCGGUGCAAAUGGGUCAAGCGGAUCUGGAGCUGGAAGUGGUGCUGGCAAAGGAGAAGCUGAGAGUGGCAUAGCAAUUGCCCCGUCUGUAGCUCCUUCCGCUGGUGGUGUCAGCUACUCUGAUGCUGGAGGUGCUGGCACUGGCGGUGGUGGUGGCGACGGUGGAAGUGGAGGUGGUAAUGGUGCUGGAGGUGGACAGGCCGCCAGCGAUGACACUACUGGAGGCAAUGCCAAUGGAAGUGGCAGCGGCAACGGUGGUGGCCAAGGUGGAGGUGUAGCUCAAGGUCCAAGCAUGGGAGUUGGUUCUGGCUCUGGCAUUGGGGGCGGACAGACUGGUAGCACUGGUUCCUAUGGUCAAGGCUAUGCCACCGGAACCGGUGCUGGAACGGGUGGCGGCGGUGGUGGCAGCAACAAUGGUGGGUUCGGCAACGGUGGAGGUAGCGGAUCUGGAUCCGGCAGUGCCGGAUACCCCUAA